rnacentral:rRNA from 1 species
CACGUAGGGCGCAAGCGUUGUCCGGAAUUAUUGGGCGUAAAGAGCUCGUAGGCGGUGUGUCGCGUCGGCCGUGAAAACCUGCAGCUUAACUGUGGGCGUGCGGUCGAUACGGGCAUCACUGGAGUUCGGCAGGGGAGACUGGAAUUCCUGGUGUAGCGGUGAAAUGCGCAGAUAUCAGGAGGAACACCAGUGGCGAAGGCGGUGCUCUGGGCCGGAACUGACGCUGAGGAGCGAAAGCGUGGGGAGCAAACAGG